UUUCCAUCUCCGGUAUUUCGGUGGGGUCGCGGGUUCAGAAGUGUGGGAAUUGCAAAACCGCAUUAUAUAUUCCACAAAUCUUACUGCAUACCCGUAUCAGUAGCACGACUGCAUCUCUGUGCUGGGCAUUUUUUAUUUCCUAAAUCAGAGUAAGUGCACCAAUGAAGUGCACGUGGCCCAAGCAAAAACAACGACAGCGUCGCGUCACCACUGAUUUUUGAGAAAACCCUGAUGAAGAGGCUACGUGUCUAAAGUGAGGCUGAUUGUUGCUCAACAGGGCAACUCAGAGAUAAGAGGAGAAGCCCACCUCGGAGGGGUGAAAUUUUACGCAGUGGAUCUGAGGUAUGGUCUGUUUACUCCUGCACGUCAAACGAUCUUGAACUUUGCCUGGUCGCUUCAGACGGUCCUACUGCAAAGUGGAAAUGACAGUUGGGAAUCGGCACCGGGAGAUGCCAGCGAUAGAGGCCGUCCU